rnacentral:rRNA from 1 species
GAUGAACGCUGGCGGCGUGCCUAACACAUGCAAGUCGAGCGGCAGCGCGGGGUGCUUGCACCCUGUCGGCGAGCGGCGGACGGCUGAGUGACGCGUGGGAACGUGCCCCAAAGUGAGGAAUAACUGCCCGAAAGGGUAGCUAAUACCGCAAACUAUCUUCGGAUCAAAGGAUUUAUCCGCUUUGGGAGCGGCUCGCGUCGGAUUAGGUAGUUGGGGAGGUAAUGGCUCACCAAGCCGACGAGCCGUAGCUGGUCUGAGAGGAUGACCAGCCAGACUGGAACUGGGGCACGGUCCAGACUCCUACGGGAGGCAGCCGUGAGGAAUCUUCCACUAUGGGCGAAAGCCUGAUGGAGCAACGCCGCGUGCAGGACGAAGGCCUUCGGGUUGUAAACUGCUUUUAUAAGUGAGGAAUAUGACGGUAACUUAUGAAUAAGGAUCGGCUAACUACGUG